CGUAGGGUGCGAGCGUUAAUCGGAAUUACUGGGCGUAAAGCGUGCGCAGGCGGUUUUGUAAGACAGAUGUGAAAUCCCCGGGCUCAACCUGGGACCUGCAUUUGUGACUGCAGGGCUAGAGUACGGUAGAGGGGGAUGGAAUUCCGCGUGUAGCAGUGAAAUGCGUAGAUAUGCGGAGGAACACCGAUGGCGAAGGCAAUCCCCUGGACCUGUACUGACGCUCAUGCACGAAAGCGUGGGGAGCAAACAGGAUUAGAUACCCUGGUAGUCCACGCCCUAAACGAUGUCAACUGGUUGUUGGGUCUUCACUGACUCAGUAACGAAGCUAACGCGUGAAGUUGACCGCCUGGGGAGUACGGCCGCAAGGUUG
rnacentral:rRNA from 1 species